UACGAAGGGGGCUAGCGUUGCUCGGAAUUACUGGGCGUAAAGGGCGCGUAGGCGGACAGUUUAGUCAGAGGUGAAAGCCCAGGGCUCAACCUUGGAAUUGCCUUUGAUACUGGCUGUCUUGAGUUCGGGAGAGGUGAGUGGAAUGCCGAGUGUAGAGGUGAAAUUCGUAGAUAUUCGGCGGAACACCAGUGGCGAAGGCGACUCACUGGCCCGAUACUGACGCUGAGGCGCGAAAGUGUGGGGAGCAAACAGG
rnacentral:rRNA from 1 species